rnacentral:lncRNA from 1 species
CGCCCCCCCUGCCCACCUCCUCCUCCCUCCAUUGUUGCAGCCACCAAAACCCUAGCCGCCCCCCCCCCCAAUCCCCUCCUCCCUAGGUGCUACUCCGUGCCGCUCGGAUCAUUGUCUUUUGGUGCGAAUCUCCAAUCGUUUUGGUGGAAGGAAGAAGGGAGGAAGGAAAAGGGGAGAACCCAAGGUGGUGGACUUCCGGAUCGUUCUUAGGGAUUUUGCCCGAACUUCGGUAAAGGCAAGUAAAAUAGUGAUGGUUAUUUCGUCUUUUGAUUGAAGAGUCUCAUACUUGAUUAUGUUUGUGCUAUUUGUGUUCGUAUCCAUAUUCCUAAUUGGGUACCAUCGUUUGAAAUUAUUCAUGCUUUAUUGAUUAUACAUGUGGAGGGUGUGGUUUGAUCAUGUUACCCAUGUGGUUAUUGAUGUGAAAUGGGUGGAAGUAUAUGUCUAGCACAUUUUAUUUGGGAAGAACUCAUGUUGUUGACAUGCAUAAUGCAUUCAUCAUCCAUUGCAUUGAAGUUUUCGUCGCGAUCUUAUGGUCCGACCGUACCGGUACAAUGAGCAUCAUAUGUUUCCCGAGAAGGGGUAUGAUGCAGCUUCAUAUCCUUAGAGGUAUGAAGGCAGAAGUCAUGUUGCAUCUGUAGCCAUGUGCAUUCAUGGGUGAAGUGUGGAACCUAUUUUGGUGAUGUGGAUAAGGUGGAUCUUUACUUUGUAAUUCAUCUUGGCAUUGAGUAAUUGAUUACUUGCUUACUUGCUGCAAAUUAAUAUUCAAGGAAGAAGUUGGGAACCAUGUGGUUGCUUAUGCACGGUUGGCUUGCAUUGUCCAACUGUUGUUUGUUUUUUUUUACUUGCUGAGAUGUGUCAUCUCACUCUUGCAUUGUCUGAUGCAGGCACCUGAUCUUUGCUUUGGGAAAGAAGGGAUGUAGCAGCACGGCCACCACACUUUUAAAUAAAGGAAUAACUGAUUAUUAAUGAUGUUAAACAGGAAGGGUCAAGUCUAGGGAAUUAUUACAUUCUAAUCUUUCAUGGUAGUUGAACUGUUUAGUUUGGUGGGCUGAGAUGUCUAUCUUUUGUCUGGUCAUGAAUGUUCUUUUCUACCGUUGCAUUUUGAUUAUACUAUGGCAAU